rnacentral:rRNA from 1 species
UACGAAGGGGGCAAGCGUUGUUCGGAAUUAUUGGGCGUAAAGCGCGCGUAGGCGGGUUCGUAAGUCGAUUGUGAAAUCCCCGGGCUCAACCCGGGAACUGCGUCCGAUACUGGAAGGCUUGAAUCCGGGAGAGGGAUGCGGAAUUCCAGGUGUAGCGGUGAAAUGCGUAGAUAUCUGGAGGAACACCGGUGGCGAAGGCGGCAUCCUGGACCGGCAUUGACGCUGAGGCGCGAAAGCCAGGGGAGCAAACGGG